rnacentral:rRNA from 1 species
AUUGAACGCUGGCGGCAGGCCUAACACAUGCAAGUCGGGCGAGUGGCGGACGGGUGAGUAAUGUAUGGGGAUCUGCCUGAUGGAGGGGGAUAACUACUGGAAACGGUAGCUAAUACCGCAUACCAUCAGAUGAACCCAUAUGGGAUUAGCUUGUAGGUGAGGUAACGGCUCACCAAGGCGACGAUCCCUAGCUGGUCUGAGAGGAUGAUCAGCCACACUGGGACUGAGACACGGUCCAGACGCCUACGGUAGGCAGCAGUGGGGAAUAUUGCACAAUGGGCGCAAGCCUGAUGCAGCCAUGCCGCGUGUAUGAAGAAGGCCUUCGGGUUGUAAAGUACUUUCAGUCGGGAGGCGUUACCGGCAGAAGAAGCACCGGCUAACUCCGUGCCAGCAGCCGCGGUAAUUC